rnacentral:rRNA from 1 species
CAUGUAGGAAAUCAAAAGUUGAACAAACUUCUUUUAUUUAACUUCUCCGCCAAUAAAGAAUCCUAAUCCAACAUCGAGGUCGCAAACUAUUUUAUCAAUAUGAACUAUCCAAAAUUAUUACGCUGUUAUCCCUAGAGUAUUUUUUUCAUUUAAUCGCUAAAAACGGAACCUAUUAAAAAAAAUUAAAUAUAAAAAGAUAAACAUUCUUUUCCCGUCGCCCCAACCAAAUUUAAUUUUUUAAUAUUAAAUCAAAAUUAAAUCAAAAUUCAUAGGGUCUUCUUGUCCCUAAUUCUUAUUUUUGCUUCUUCACAAAAAAAUUAAAUUUAAUUAUUUAAUUAAAGAAAGCUCUUAAUUGUUCAACCAUUCUCUUAGCACUCAUUUAAAAUCUUAUUUCAAUACCUUCGCAUAGUCAAAAUACCACGGCAAUUUAAAAAAUUCCAUUGAGCAGAUCAUACAUCUUAUUAAUGUUUCAAGAUGAAAUGUUUUUGU